rnacentral:rRNA from 1 species
AGCGAACGCUGGCGGCAGGCCUAACACAUGCAAGUCGAACGGAUCCUUCGGGAUUAGUGGCGGACGGGUGAGUAACACGUGGGAACGUGCCCUUUGGUUCGGAACAACUCAGGGAAACUUGAGCUAAUACCGGAUGUGCCCUUCGGGGGAAAGAUUUAUCGCCAUUGGAGCGGCCCGCGUCUGAUUAGCUAGUUGGUGAGGUAAAGGCUCACAAAGGCGACGAUCAGUAGCUGGUCUGAGAGGAGUAUCAGCCACAUUGGGACUGAGACACGGCCCAAACUCCUACGGGAGGCAGCAGUGGGGAAUCUUGCGCAAUGGGCGAAAGGCUGACGCAGCCAUGCCGCGUGAAUGAUGAAGGUCUUAGGAUUGUAAAAUUCUUUCACCGGGGACGAUAAUGACGGUACCCGGAGAAGAAGCCCCGGCUAACUUCGUGCCAGCCGCCGCAGUAAAAC